rnacentral:rRNA from 1 species
UACGUAGGGUGCAAGCGUUAUCCGGAAUUAUUGGGCGUAAAGAGCUCGUAGGCGGUUUGUCACGUCUGCUGUGAAAACUGGAGGCUCAACCUCCAGCCUGCAGUGGGUACGGGCAGACUAGAGUGCGGUAGGGGAGAUUGGAAUUCCUGGUGUAGCGGUGGAAUGCGCAGAUAUCAGGAGGAACACCGGUGGCGAAGGCGGGUCUCUGGGCCGAAACUGACGCUGAGGAGCGAAAGCGUGGGGAGCAAACAGG